GAUGAACGCUGGCGGCGUGCCUAAUACAUGCAAGUCGAGCGAACAGACGAGGAGCUUGCUCCUUUGACGUUAGCGGCGGACGGGUGAGUAACACGUGGAUAACCUACCUAUAAGACUGGGAUAACUUCGGGAAACCGGAGCUAAUACCGGAUAAUAUAUUGAACCGCAUGGUUCAAUAGUGAAAGACGGUUUUGCUGUCACUUAUAGAUGGAUCCGCGCCGCAUUAGCUAGUUGGUAAGGUAACGGCUUACCAAGGCAACGAUGCGUAGCCGACCUGAGAGGGUGAUCGGCCACACUGGAACUGAGACACGGUCCAGACUCCUACGGGAGGCAGCAGUAGGGAAUCUUCCGCAAUGGGCGAAAGCCUGACGGAGCAACGCCGCGUGAGUGAUGAAGGUCUUCGGAUCGUAAAACUCUGUUAUUAGGGUAGAACAAAUGUGUAAGUAACUAUGCACGUCUUGACGGUACCUAAUCAGAAAGCCACGGCUAACUACGUG
rnacentral:rRNA from 1 species